UACGGGGGGGGCAAGCGUUGUUCGGAAUUACUGGGCGUAAAGGGCCAGUAGGCGGCCAACUAAGUCCGACGUGAAAUCCCAAGGCUUAACCUUGGAACUGCGUCGGAUACUGGAUGGCUUGAAUCCGGGAGAGGGAUGCAGAAUUCCAGGUGUAGCGGUGAAAUGCGUAGAUAUCUGGAGGAAUACCGGUGGCGAAGGCGGCAUCCUGGACCGGCAUUGACGCUGAGGAGCGAAAGCUAGGGGAGCAAACGGG
rnacentral:rRNA from 1 species